rnacentral:lncRNA from 1 species
AGAGUGAAGAAGAAGAGGAGGAAGAGGAAUGGCAAAGGGAAGAGAGAGAAGAGGGAGAAGGAAGAAGAGGAGGAGAUUAUGCACGACACUUGUUAAAAUUGCAACACUGAGACGGUAUUAGCAGCCCAGUUCUUCAUUUGAGAAGACCAAAGCACAGAGGGGCUAAGUGAUUUGCCCGGGCCCACACAGCUGGGUUGUUGCUGAGCCAGCAUUUGAAACCAGGCUACAUCCUUGAAUCUCAGCUUGGACUUGGUAUCAUUCAGAGUCCUACCAAGAGAAUCAAAACCACUUCAGGGCCCAGAUGGAAGCCAGCUGACAUGCAAGCCUGGGAACUGCAGCCUGCAGAGAUCAACAACCCCACGGAGUCACAGAGCAGAGCAGGUGAAGGAAGAAGAAUGGGUUUGAGGCAAACAGGGCCAGGAUCGGCAGGCCUUGUCCUCCAGGAAGCCUUUCCCACCCCACCUCAGGCUGGAAUAGGGGCCUUCGUAGGCUGAAUGAUGGCCUCCCAAAAAUGUUCACUUCUUAAUCCCUCAACCCUCUGAAUAUUACCUUAUAUGACAAAAGAUGUGACUAAGACGUGUUAAGGAUCUUGAAAAGAGAGACUGAAGCUGGGUUUUCUGGAUGGGCUUCAUAGACAGACACACAGAAGAAAAGGCAAUGU